rnacentral:rRNA from 1 species
GCAUAUCAAUAAGCGGAGGAAAAGAAACCCACCGGGAUUGCCUCAGUAACGGCGAGUGAAGCGGCAAAAGCUCAAAUUUGAAAUCUGGCUCUAUUUUGGGGUCCGAGUUGUAAUUUGAAGAUGGUAUUCUGGUGGUGGUGCAGGCAUAUGUCCCUUGGAACAGGGCGGCAUAGAGGGUGAGACUCCCGUUUUGCUUGGUAGCCAGUGCUGUGUAGAAUGCUUUCGAAGAGUCGAGUUGUUUGGGAAUGCAGCUCUAAGUGGGUGGUAAAUUCCAUCUAAAGCUAAAUAUUGGCGAGAGACCGAUAGCGAACAAGUACAGUGAUGGAAAGAUGAAAAGAACUUUGAAAAGAGAGUGAAAAAGUACGUGAAAUUGUUGAAAGGGAAGGGCUUGAGAUCAGACUUGGUAAGUAGUGAUCAGCUGCCUCUUGGGGUGGUGCACUCGGUAUUUACUAGGCCAGCAUCGGUUUUGGCGGUAGGAUAAUGGCAAGGGAAUGUGGCUGGCUUUGGUCAGUGUUAUAGCCCUUGUUGAUGCUGCCAGCGGGGACCGAGGACUGCGCAUUUUGCUAGGAUGCUGGCGUAAUGAUCUUAAGCCACCGUCUUGAAACACGGACC